rnacentral:lncRNA from 1 species
GAUGGAUUUCACAGUGAGCGACUUGGAAAUACUUGCCUUGAGGGAGCCACUUUAAGAGGAAUGUUUGUGGAUAAAUAUUAGGUCGAGCCUUAAGAAAUGGCCAAUGUUUGGACUGUUCUUGACCUUCCUGUGUGGCAGUUUCAUAAGGUUCGUUUGCAAGAGAUCAUCCAGGUUGCCCUCACUCUGUUUCCAGAUCUGGAUGGGUAACCCUUCCCUUUCACAGCUGAUUUAUGCCAUCAGGAUUAUUUUAAAGCCAUUUCUCAAUGGGGAUUUCUAGAUACCCCUCCUCCUCAUUCUCAUAAAGAGGAGAUCUGUAAUCCACAUAUCAUAGUCACAAGGGCUCUUCAGUUCGUACAUACUUCAGCAACUCUUAGGGGUCUAUUGCUUUAACAGUUAAAUGACUACUUAAUAUGUGUGAACAGUAUUAAGUCUGCAGUAUUUCUCAUAAUUUUAAAGUUCUGAGGUACUUUUGGUUUUGCAAAUCACACCACGGUGGCAUAUAAAGAGAAACAGUUUUUCACUGCAUUGACAGUAUUUGUUACUUUCCUAGUACCCUUGAUGCGUAUGGGUUCCCGUCUCUUCUUCCCUCAUUCCCUUCUCUUCCCUCAUCCUCUUCCCAAUUUUUAAAGUCUGUUACGUCUUUGUUUAUAGUUACUCUAUUUUUAAUGAAUGGUCUAUUAAAUAUGAUUCAUGGGCAAAGUAGUAGAGCAGUUAAGAUCUCAAAAGUACUUUCUAGCUUUGACUUUUAAAUAGUCUGUAAGAACUGCUUUUCUAGUCCCUUAUCUGCAAGUUAUAUAGUGUAUAAUAGUCCACUAUAGGUAAGUAUAGUCAUGUUCCAGCAGAUGUUUAUGUAUCUUUACUUUCUUUUUUAGUGUUCUGGGCUUGCCCUUAACUGAAUUUUGUUCUGAUUUUUAAAAUAGUGUCUGUGCUUAUUAAUUUUUAUCCUUACUUACCAGGAAGACCUCUUAAUUCAGUAGAUUCAGUAAAUUAGGGGGCAUAGGGGUUCUUUGGAGUCACAAGGUCAUUUGGUAAAACAGUUGCCAUGGACUCAGAGUUGGGCUUUGUGAUAUUGUUAGGCAGGGCUGGCACGUCAAACACAGUGUCCGUUCUGUUUUCCAACCAAGAUCUGCUAGUGGCGGAACUUUCCCAGAAGUCUGUUCUGCUGGUGAAUGGUGCUCGCAGAUUUUUUUUCUCCAAUUGCUGGGAGAAUCUCAAUGCAGAAUUUCCAGGGACAUUCUCUUUAUUUGGAGAUUUCAAGGGAAUUUUCCCAAGGAGAUAAACCUUGGAAUUAAGAUGCAGCCGAGAAUGGGAAAAGCUUUUACAUGGAUAUUUUCGCAGGAUUUGGCAGUUUUCUGACCUGGCUCCACCUUCCCUAAGAUCUCCUUGCUCCUGGGAGUUGCACCGUUCUUUGUAAUGUGAGAAAGCAGAGGUGUAAGUAGUUGCUACUUGCCAUUACAUGUGGAUUCGUGUGAUUUUCAUUUCUUAGUGAGCCAUGAGGGUGUUACAGUGAUAGCUGGGUACACGGGAGGGACAGUGGCUCCAACUCUCUCUGCCAGAGAAUCAGAUGUCCAGGAUAAUUUUGUUGACAAGCCUCUCUUCUGGGAUGAAAAUAAGUUUAAUUAGAUUAAACAUACUGGUCAUUGACUGAUGGUGGUGUUUAUGGUACUUCCAUGAAUCUUAGCUUGAGUAACCUUACUGGAUGGGGAUUUUGUUUGGGGGCAAGUAGAGGUAUCUUUCCUUUUAUCUCCCUUGUUUGUCUUCUUGCUCUCAUCUUUAUACAGACACUUGGCGCAUUAAAAUCCCUGGAACUGCAGUUUUCACAAUGUGAUCCAAGAAGCCCUGGGCUUUCCAGGGGAUCAUCGCAAAAGCAAUAGUGGGUAAAACAGCUGGUCGCUUAGUAUAAAUCUAGGCAUGAGCCCCAAACUUGACUAGGAGUCAAGUAUAUUCCUCACCACCCGGCAAUGGUAGUGUUAUUAAAAUGGCAGUUUCACUUCAGAAUGUCCUUCAUUGAAUGAAGAGUCUUCGAACUUAAUUUCUGCAGGGCUUUAGAAGUUGGCAGUCUCACCUCCCACCCGCUGCAGAGAUUGAUCUGGUGAUCAUCCCGGUAUCUUUGCAUUUCAAUGAUGGGAAGGCCAGUGCUUCACAAGACAGCUAUUUUAUUUUGUUUUAUUUUAUUUUUAUUUGUUUAUUUUUUUGCCUUUGUCUUUUUAGGGCCGCAUCUGAGGCAUAUGGAGGUUUCUAGGCUCUAGGGGUCGAACUGGAGCUGCAGCUGCCGGCUUACACCACGGCCACAGCAACUCAGGAUCCGAGCCACAUCUGUGGCCUACACCACACACAGCUCACAACAACACCAGAUCCUUAACCCACUGAACGAGGCGAGGCCAGGAAUCGAACCUAUGUCCUCAUGGAUGCUAGUCAGGUUCGUUUCCACUGAGCCACGAUGGGAACUCCAAGACAGCUGUUUUACUUUCAUAUAGCUGUAAUUUUCAGAAAUGUGUUCUUAUUUUACAUCAAGGCUUUGUUUCUCCCUAAUUUUACCCUUGAUUCCUGUCUGCCUUGUCAGGGUCCAGCCAAAAUCAAACAUACCUAUCUUCCUAUCUUUUUUUUUUUUUUGCUUUUUAUGGCACCUGCACUUCAAAUCAGCCCCUACCCUGGGAACUUCCAUAUGCCACGGGUAUGGCCCUUAAAAAAAAAAAAGUUAGUUUCACUUCUGUUAGAUGAAUUGUGGA